CGCAUCUGUGCAUGCAGCAUAUCAAUAAGCGGAGGAAAAGAAACUAACAAGGAUUCCCCUAGUAACGGCGAGUGAAGCGGGAAGAGCUCAAAUUUGAAAUCUUAAAGGGUUUCCCUUUACGAAUUGUAGUUUAAAGAAGUGUUUUCUGCUGAAGUUUUGGUAAAAGUUCUUUGGAAUAGGACAUCAUAGAGGGUGAGAAUCCCGUAUUUGACCUUUACUUUCAACUUUGUGAUACACUUUCAAAGAGUCGGAUUGUUUGGGAAUGCAGUCCAAAAUGGGUGGUAAAUUUCAUCUAAAGCUAAAUAUUGGCGAGAGACCGAUAGCGAACAAGUACCGUGAGGGAAAGAUGAAAAGAACUUUGAAAAGAGAGUUAAACAGUACGUGAAAUUGUCAAAAGGGAAGCGUUUGACACCAGUGUUGUUUUCUCGAAAAUCAAUUAAAAAUGGCUCGAUUUUGUAUUGCUGAGACCUUAAAAGCUCACUGUACAUUUUUCGUGUCUUUUUUAAUGCACUUUUCGUUUAACAAGUCAACAUCAGUUUCUUUUGUUGUAAAAGGGUCAUUGGAAGGUGGCUUUCUUUUCGGAGAAAGUGUUUAUAGCCUCCUGGCCUAUGCAAUCGGAGAGAUUGAGGUCUGCAGCGUAGGACUCCUUCGGGGCUAGAUACAUUUGUGCUAAGUUAUAGCAUUUUAUAGACAACUUGUUGACUAUAAUUAGUCUUGUAGCUUACUCGCUUAUGCUAUUUUACCUACGCUUAGGAUGUUGAUAGUCACAGCGUGUAC
rnacentral:rRNA from 1 species